rnacentral:tRNA from 1 species
AAGAAUUUAGGUUAUUUUGUAAACUUAAAACCUUCAAAGUUUUAGAAAUUAUAUUUUAUUAAUUCUUA